rnacentral:misc_RNA from 1 species
UUAACUAUUGAAUAGUACUCUGACGACACACACACUUAGGGUUUGGGGUCUCUGGCGGGCAUAGCCCGCCAAAGCAACAGCGGUCUGAUACACAAGGGUGGCGUCUCUACCCGGAGGGCAGGAGCUCGGUAAUGAUCCUUCCGCAGGUUCACCUACGGAAA